UUUACCCCAAAUUUAUCUGCCCAAAGCUGAGCCUUCUCCUUCACACGCAAAACUCAGCUUUUCCUCUUUCCUUGUUCACGUCAGAGUUGGACAGAGAGAAAGGGAGCCUCGUUCAGCUCUUCCCCUCCACGUUUCCAUCAUGCAAAGGGCAACUCCUCCAAGAACAUCUCCUCAGACCUUCAAAAGAGAGAACCCAGGCCAUAAAUCGUCACUCACCCUUCUCUCCUCACCUUUCCUCUCGUCCCUGGACACAUCAGUCUGUUUACGAGCCCAAAAACACCUAGUUAGAGACCUCCGAUGAAAAAACUUUCUUCACCAAAGUUGUUCGUCUAUGUCUCCUCUAUUUAGCCUCAAAAUUUCAGCUCCGUCGGAGUCGAUUUGAGUCCUGUACACCGCUCGAAGCGGAAGCUGUUCUGAAACGAGCCUGUUCCGGAUUUCUGCUUGAAUUCCCUCUCUUGCUCUACCCGAAUCCCCAACACCUUGCUUGAGACUGAUACCAACAGUUGUCUCUGUUUCACUUUGCAUGUUCGAGUUGAGCGAACUUCUUGGCCAGCGGCUGGACUUGAUCCAUUCAGCUUCCCCAGCUCUCUUUCCUGUUGAAAUCCUCAAGAGAAACUCACCUUUUUGGAUUAGUCUUUGGAUCUUGUGAAGUGGUGGUUGCUACAAGGUUGCAUUGAGGCCAAGUGCUGCAAGAGAAAGCUCGAGUUCCAGGUAGGGGAUGCCUUUAACUCUAUCUAUGCUUUUCUUGCAUAUACUAUGUUUUAUAUGAGGCCUCUUGCAUGUUUUGGAAAUUAUCUGUUUUUACAACUUGAAAUGGUUUGCGUGGAUUGGAUUGAUGUGUUGGCAAUUGAUGGGGAUGUAAGGAGAGGUCAGUUCCUCCUUGAGCCACCGGUGGUGGGCAGUGUGCACCAUGCCCUUGUUAUCUCCCCUUUGUCUCUAGCCUUGUGAUUAUUGAAUUCCGGAAAGUGAUUGGCUAGAUGGACGGUUGUGAUGAAAGUGUGAAAGAUGAUCAAUUGCCGUGGGAUUGUAAUUACGUGGUGACGAUCACGUGGAAGCGCAAACCGUUUGUUUUGCAGGCUGUUGUUGUCGAAGCUUGGGUACGGAGGAUAAUCCUUGGAGGCCAAAAUUUGUUUUGUUUAAAGUUUAUUUUAUCUGGCUUGUUUGAUUUCGUUAAAUUUUUGUAACGUUAUGUAUGGUUGAUGAUGUGUGUGAUUGCUUACCACCAAAGUGGAACCCUAGGGUUAGAACCUCCAUUUGAGUUUAGGUCCUAGUGGGCUAGACCUAGAAGACUCACGUAAAUUACCAUUUAAUGAACUUAAUGCAAACUUGGGCUAAGAACUAAAAAUUGACAUAGGUUCUAAAACUCAACACAACACCACCUUCCUUUCUUCUUAUUCGCCUAGUUCGUAAUCUUGUGAUUACGAGCCAAGCCCACUAUACAAGCCCAA